GCCUCCGUAGUUUAGUUGGUUAUAACACCCCACUAGUAUUUCUACGGCUAAUGGGGAGGUCUGUCGUUCGAAUCGGCACGGAGGCA
rnacentral:tRNA from 1 species